rnacentral:rRNA from 1 species
ACAGAGGUGGCAAGCGUUGUUCGGAAUUACUGGGCGUAAAGCGCGCGUAGGCGGCUUUGUAAGUUAGAGGUGAAAGCCCGGGGCUCAACUCCGGAACUGCCUUUAAGACUGCAUCGCUAGAAUCCGGGAGAGGUGAGUGGAAUUCCGAGUGUAGAGGUGAAAUUCGUAGAUAUUCGGAAGAACACCAGUGGCGAAGGCGGCUCACUGGUCCGGUACUGACGCUGAGACGCGAAAGCGUGGGGAGCGAACAGGA